rnacentral:rRNA from 1 species
GACGAACGCCGGCGGCGUGCUUAACACAUGCAAGUCGAACGGUGAAGGUGGAGAGCUUGCUCUCUACUGGAUCAGUGGCGAACGGGUGAGUAACACGUGGGUAACCUGCCCCAAACUUUGGGAUAACUCUCCGAAAGGAGAGCUAAUACCGGAUACGAAUUCGAGUGGCAUCACUUGAAUUGGGAAGCUCCGGCGGUUUGGGAUGGACCCGCGGCCUAUCAGCUAGUUGGAGGGGUAACGGCCCACCAAGGCGACGACGGGUAGCCGGCCUGAGAGGGCGACCGGCCACACUGGGACUGAGACACGGCCCAGACUCCUACGGGAGGCAGCAGUGGGGAAUAUUAGUCAAUGGGCGCAAGCCUGAACCAGCAACGCCGCGUGAGGGAUGACGGCCUUCGGGUUGUAAACCUCUUUCAGCAGGGACGAAGCGAAAGUGACGGUACCUGCAGAAGAAGCACCGGCUAACUACGUGCCAGCCGCCGCAGUAAUAC